rfam:Neotoma lepida isolate 417 scaffold_137, whole genome shotgun sequence.
CCUGGACCCAUUCUCCGAUCGGUCCUCCAGAGCGCGCGCCACCAUCGACCACGCCAAUUCGGCGUCAGCUGGCUUCCCGCCUCUCUACUUCCCAUCACAACGCUCGCCCAAGGCUCGAUGGCGCCGGAUCGCAGGCGAGCAGCUACAGACGCGAGAAAAGCCUCNGCGA